rnacentral:ncRNA from 1 species
GUUGGUGAGGCAAUAGCUUACCAAGGCGAUGAUCAGUAGCUGGUCCGAGAGGAUGAUCAGCCACACUGGGACUGAGACACGGCCCAGACUCCUACGGGAGGCAGCAGUGGGGAAUUUUCCGCAAUGGGCGAAAGCCUGACGGAGCAAUCCCGCGUGGAGGUGGAAGGCCUACGGGUCGUCAACUUCUUUUCUCGAGAAGAAACAAUCGGCUGAGGAA